rnacentral:rRNA from 1 species
AGGAUGAAUGCUGGCGGCGUGCCUAAUACAUGCAAGUCGAGCGGUAAGGCCCUUCGGGGUACACGAGCGGCGGACGGCUGAGUAACGCGUGGGAACAUGCCCCAAAGUGAGGGAUAAGCAUCGGAAACGGUGUCUAAUACCGCAUAUGGUCUUCGGAUUAAAGGAUUUAUCCGCUUUGGGAGUGGCCCGCGUACGAUUAGGUUGUUGGUGAGGUAAUGGCUCACCAAGCCUACGAUCGUUAACUGGUCUGAGAGGAUGACCAGUCAGACUGGAACUGAGACACGGUCCAGACUCCUACGGGAGGCAGCAGUAAGGAAUCUUCCACAAUGGGCGAAAGCCUGAUGGAGCAACGCCGCGUGCAGGAUGAAGGCCCUCGGGUCGUAAACUGCUUUUAUGAGUGAAGAAUAUGGCGGUAACUCAUGAAUAAGCACCGGCUAACUACGCGCCAGCAGCCGC